AUGUGUUGGAUGCUGCGGCUGGUCAACACUGUUCUGAAGUUGUCAAAAGGAUGCAAGCUCAUAUCUAGUCCUGUGAUGCAGAAGGACCACAAGUUGAAGCACAGAAGAAAGCUGGAGCCCCAGCACACAGGUUGGACACCUAACUCUUGAGUGUCAUGGCACUCAUUAAAACCCUGGAACUACAGAGAUCUUCCACAAAACACGCAGUACUGCCUUCUGCUCAUGAUGUGGUCCCACAAUUCUAAGGUAACUGUGUCCUCAGUGGAAGAGUUCCUUAAUUUUGCAUCUGCUUUAAUGUAAAAUUAUAUCAAGUCUCUUCUGCAUGCAGAAAUUCAAUCCCUUACCAGACCGAGCGCAAAGUCCCUCUGUAUUUCAAAGUUUCUGAAGCUUUAACACAACGGAUGCCGCACAAGGCAUCCCAGCUGGCAGCAGGUUCAGCAGCCCACAGGUAGAGACCCACACUUCCAGCCGUGGCCCACAGGCUUGAAGGUAAGAUCCCAUAUGCACUUCUGUUGCACUAACCACUUUGAACGUACAAAAGAAAGAUUUGCAUGUGGAACUUCACCUCG
rnacentral:lncRNA from 1 species